ensembl:lncRNA
CAACAGUGGGGGGUUUUUUCAUACUUUUCCUUGUUAAAUAAGAUUUGGAUAUACAUACGUGGUACACCCUGUACUUGGCAAGUAAAACGACUGAUAUAUCAACAACAGCAUGAAAAUAUGUUUUAUUAUUUUGCAGUUGAAUAGCAGAGAAGUGAUACAGAGCUCUCAUCAUUAAUCGAUUCUUCACCAGCUCUCACAGAUGGAGUCUGUCAGUGUGCUGCCUGGCAACCAACGGUUGGAGCUGAAGAGGGGGCGAUAUCCCUGAGGAAGCCUUGUGCCAAGCUACAGUGCAUGUCCAGACAAGAUUCAACAUGGAGUUGAGCAAACAAGCAUAAUUAUGAGAGGAAUUUGGGUCAGUGAAGAGAAGGCUGUGUCUUUAAGAUGGAGAUUCCCCUGCCUCCUCUCCACCCGCUCUUUUAAAAUAUAGAUGAUGUAUUACCACUGC